CCAGGUUGCCCAGGACAAGGCAUGUCCAACAUAUGCCUAUAAGACAAAUGUGAAAACAUCAAGUUACAGAAGCUAGAUGUGCAUUUACUACACUGGGAUUCAUGGUUCAGCGAAGACAAGCUAUUAGUUGGCUCAAGAAGGGUCCACACAAGUUCUGAAUCACAGUAGGUUCUAUAAUGUUGUGGUGAAGAACACGGAUGCUGGAGACAGACUGAGUUUUAAUUCUAUGCUCUCCAUUCACACCUUAUAACCUUGAGCAAGGAGAGCUUCCUCGAUGUCAACAAUGCAAGAUUUGUGCUGCGGGCAAUUGGAGUAGAAUCAGCUUCCUGAGAGCCAAGUUCUUUGACUUCCCCUAGAAGGAAAGGGUGGGCUCAAUGUCAUCACAAGGGUGCUUAAGAGGGAAAGAGGAAGCCAUGAGGGUCAGAGUCAAAGGAAGACUUGAAGAUACUACACUGCGGACUUUAAAGAUGAAGGAAGGGGCGAAAACCAAGAAUGUGGGAAGCCUCUAGAAGCUAGAGAAGGCAAGGAAACAAAUUUUCCACUAGAGCCUCCAGAAGGAACACAGCCCUGCUGACCCACUGUAAUGUCUGACCUCUAGAUGUGUAAGGGUAGUAAGACUGAAAGUCUCAGAAAGGCACUGUUAAAUUCUUAUUCCUCAACUAUGCAACUCAAAACUGGGGUCCUCAGCAGUGAGCGAGGGGUGAGAGAAGACACUGUAUAAACAUGGCACAUCCUCCUGGAAAGUCAACUUUACUCAAAGGCUGCAGGCCGUAUUAUGCUAAAUCAAGGAUACGGGGAGAUAAUUAACAUAGCAACUCUGGCAAUUUUAAUAGAACCGCUGCAUUUAUUGAAGUCAUGAGCCCGUAGUCUAUCUUUAGACUCCUGAUGUAAUUUCUGAAUCACCAACCAUUUCUGAGACCACAAGAUAUUUAAAAAUAAGAUAAGAAAUAUUGACUGAGACUCCCUGAAGCCUGCAAGGGAAACGAAGAUACCGCGGCAGAGGUUUACAGUGGAAUUUCUCUCCUGUAGUUCGUGCACAUUGAAAAUGACAUGAUCUAUCCCAAGGAAUAGCUUAAGACCUGAUCCACUUAAACAGCUCCAAGUGAUUUAUCAUAAAUGUGCUUAUUUGGAAGGUUUAGCAGUAACCGCUUAUGGGAGGUGGUGGGGUUAACUACCAAAAUUGUACAUAACUUGGAUCCUGUGUAUGGCAAUUAAUCAAGAAAUUAUAUUCUUUGACUUUCUAACAACCCACACAGAGUGCUACAUCUGUGGCAUGUUUAAAGAGAGAGCGAGGGAUGAAAUAUUUCUUCUAAUAAAAUGCUAAUGGCUUUGUUUUGGAGAAAAAAUAUUGGAUUAUUGUGGUGUUAGAUUUAUCUGUAUGAGGAUUUCUCGAGUCACAGUCAGUAAGUACUUCUGACAGAAAACCAGCUAUGUCCUGAAUACAAUAUCCCAGUCUUCUAAAUGACUUCAGGAUUAUGGAGAGGCCCCUUUAUAAUACUGAAGAAAGAACACAGGAAUAAAUGGUGUGAUAGAGAACUGUAGCAGUCGAAGUUAUUACUGUGAGCAUUUGUUAAAUGUUCAAGAGUAUUUAUUUAACCCAAAGCACAUUGGAAUAUGUUAAUUAAGACAGGUGAGGCAUCCCAUUGAUUUGUGGUGUCUCAUGGGCAUAACUUGCACCCACUUAGUUGCUCUAGUCCUUAGGUUUUCAAGAUUUUGCGGGGAUGCCUACUGUGGUUAGGAACCCAGAGCUCACUCCUUGGAGGGUUAGUUUCACAAAUUCAAUAUCUGAAAACCUAAAAGUACCAUCAUCUAAAAAGAAAAAUUUGGGGCAACAAAAGCGCCAAAGUAUAAUGUCAUUUUCAUUCCUAUGAUCCUUUGUGAUGUGGUUCAAAUGGCUUAUUUUAAUAUUUCACUUUUCAAUCAGUAGCUUUUUAAAAAUGACAAUUUCACAAAUGCUUAUGGAGCAUCUACUUUGUGCCUACACUGGCCAAGAGACAGAAAGAUGGAAUAAUACCUGACUUCUACCUUUUAAGAUCUCAUAGUGCAGCAAAACAGAGAGCUGUAGCAAAUAUUUGUAAUGUGAAAAGAGCAACACUCAUGAAACAGUCCAGUGCUGGACACUUACUGUAGUAGAGACACUGCAUCAAUGAUUCUCUUUUACAGGCAAGGGAACUGAAGCUUGUAGAGAGGUUAGAUCACACAGUUAACAAGAAGAGGGACAAGCAUUUACCGGAAGCCCUGUGUGGUUCUGGAUACUCACAUAGUGCUUGCCAGACGCCCGGCAUUGUGUUUAGGGCUUUACACUCAUGACCUCACUCGGUCCUCAUGACAACCCUAUGCAGGGGAUACUAUAAUUAUCCCCAUUUCACAGAUGAGCAAACUGAGCUCUGAGAAGGAGCAACUUGACCAAGGUCAUGUAGGUAAUGUCAGAGCAGCAAUUUGAAUAUAGGCUCUUGACAACUAAACUUUACUGCUGUGAGAUGUAGAGGCAUUUCUGCCUGGAGCUGCGGGAAGGUACAGAGAUUAGGGCAAAUAAAUUAUAAGAAGAUUAGAAAUAUGGUCUUGAUAAGGACUUUGAAGAUAAUGCUUAUAUCAGACUUCCUUCUGAUCUGAGUCAAUUGAAGGAUGUAUUUUUGAACCUUUCAGAAAUCUCUCUAUAAGUUAUAGAUCUGAAUUUUAGUGAGAAUCUAUUCCAUUCCUCGGAGUGCGAAAAUCCAACACAAUGUCUGGGAAUUCAGACUUAUAAAAAUCAUACAGAAGUAAUUCUUAAAAAAUCUUUUAUUUUGAAGUAAUUGUAGGCUCAUAAGAGGUUGUAAAAAUAAGAGAGUUAUAGUAUGCCCUUCACCCAGCUUCCUCCAAAGUUAACGUUUUAUAUAACCAUAGUACAUAUCAAAAGUGGGAAAUAGACUUUGACAAAAUACUAUUCAUUAGACCACAGAUCAUAUGGGGAUUUCAUUAGUUUUUAGAUGCACUCUAUUGUUUUGUAUAGUUCUUUUCCAUUUUAUCACCUGUAUAGAUUUGUGUAACCACCAAGAAGUAAUUUGUUUUAAGCUGGC
rnacentral:lncRNA from 10 species